GCCGUCUUAGCUCAGUGGUAGAGCACGUGACUUUUAAUCCCGUGGUCGUGGGUUCGAUCACCACAAACGGCG
rnacentral:tRNA from 1 species